rfam:Felis catus isolate Cinnamon breed Abyssinian chromosome B1, whole genome shotgun sequence.
ACCUGGGUGGCUCAGUCGGUUAAGCACCUGACUUCAGCUCAGGUCAUGAUCUCACAGUUCAUGGGUUCGAGCCCCAAGUCAGGCU